AGAGGGGUUAACUACUUUUUAAAAAUAUUUAUUUAUUUGAGAGAGAGAGAGAGAGAAAGAGAAAGAACGAGAGGGAGGGGCGGAAGGAGAGAGAAUCUGAAGCACACUCCAGGCAGAGCGCAGAACCUGACGCAGAGCUCCAUCUCAGGACCCUGAGAUCACGACCUGAGCCAAAACCAAGAGGUGGCUACUCAACUGACCACACCACCAAGGCACCCCAGGAGUUCACUAUUUUGAAGGUUUGGAAGAGUGGAGGCUAUGUCCUCCAUUGUGGAAACUUGACAAGGGUGGCCUGCCCGAUCAAUUCUGAACAAUGAAUUUCCUCUGGUACAUCUUCAGGUAGCUGUGUAAAAAAGCAACACAUAAAGUGUCCUGGUAAUUGCAGACAACUGGCUGUGGUUUGAAGAAAGGGAACCAAGUAAAGUUUACUCGCCAAUGAAGACGGCCAGCCCAGAGCCUCAUCUA